rnacentral:rRNA from 1 species
GACGAACGCUGGCGGCGUGCUUAACACAUGCCAGUCGAACGGAAAGGCCCUGCUUUUGUGGGGGGCUCGAGUGGCGAACGGGUGAGUAACACGUGAGUAACCUGCCCUUGACUUUGGGAUAACUUCAGGAAACUGGGGCUAAUACCGGAUAGGAGCUCCUGCUGCAUGGUGGGGGUUGGAAAGUUUCGGCGGUUGGGGAUGGACUCGCGGCUUAUCAGCUUGUUGGUGGGGUAGUGGCUUACCAAGGCUUUGACGGGUAGCCGGCCUGAGAGGGUGACCGGCCACAUUGGGACUGAGAUACAGCCCAUACUCCUACGGGAGGCAGCAGGGAGGAAUAUUGCACAAUGGGCGGAAGCCUGAUGCAGCAACGCCGCGUGCGGGAUGACGGCCUUCGGGUUGUAAACCGCUUUCGCCUGUGACGAAGAGUGAGUGACGGUAAUGGGUAAAGAAGCACCGGCUAACUACGUG